AUGACGUUUCUGUGGCUUUUCCUUUCACUGUUCUCGGCUCCCAACCGUGUCCUCUCCCAGGUGCAGCUGGUCCAGUCCGGCCCGGGGGCAGUGAAGCCCGGAGAGACCCUCACCCUGAGCUGCGCUGUCUCCGGGUUCUCCAUCUCUACUCAAUAUUACCCCUGGAACUGGAUUCGGCAGCCCCCCGGGAAAGGGCUGGAGUGGAUGGGGCAUGUGCAUCCAUAUGAUAGGAGCGCACGCUACGCCCGGUCUCUCCUAGGCCGAGUCACUAUCUCUGGAGACACCGCCAAGAACCAGGUCUCGCUGGAGAUCCGCUCGCUGACAGCUGCAGAUACCGCCACCUAUUACUGCGCCGGAGACACA